UAUCUCUGGUUUCCCUUCAACAACGGAUAAAUCUUUCGCCUUUUACUAAAGAUUUCCGUGGUGGGGAGCAAUCAAAUGAGUCUUACUCAAUUUUUUGAUAGCUCCGCUUCGGCGGGGCU